GUAGUUGUGGCCGAGUGGUUAAGGCGAUGGACUCGAAAUCCAUUGGGGCAGUCCCACGCUGGUUCGAAUCCUGUCAACUUAGGCA